rnacentral:lncRNA from 1 species
UUUGUAAUAGAAAUAUGGAACGAGUGCUUAUGAACCUAUUUUUAAUUGUCUAAUUCCUGAUAUAGGGAAACAAGGGAAUAACCACCAAGCAGGUGUAAGGGAGGGAUUCGACCACACUUAACCAUCCCACGUGGACACACACGCACCAUUUACUUUUACAAUCAUUUAAUUUCCUGCAAUUUACUUUUCUGCACUUUAAUUAUUGCAAUUUAUUUUAUGAUCAGCACAACUAUAUCCAAACACCAAAGCGAAUGCAAAAACAUUCCUAAGCGAAACUAGUAAUUUUGGCACAAUCCCUGUGUAGAACGAUAAACUUAUCACUUUAUUAUUUGGUACCGAUUUUGUGCACUUGCAGAACCACCGUCAAUUGGCUUAAUUCAGUUCACUUCAAUUUAAAUCUGCUUUGUUUCUGACUAUGACUUUAACGCUGAUGUCUAAAUCAUUAAGUAAGAAGUAUGUGUUCAUCCUCUACUUAACUAUAUUUCUUAAUUUACAUUUAUUACUAGAUCUCAUAAUAAUAAACUUGUGUUGAGAUCUAAGUUGAUCACUCGUUCAAACGUAUUAUAAGAAAUAAAGAUGCACAAAACAACAUAAUCAUUUCACAUGAAUAACACAUUGGACUUGUAUUGAACUUCACAUAAUUCCAAUAACAAGAGUUUUAGCCCAUGGUAAGCUUAACAAUACAUACAACCAAAAUCAUAGAUCUACACAUCAUAAAAAAGUUUAGAAGUGUAACAUAAGAAGAACAACAACCAAAGAUAAAUCUAUAUUAUUUUUGUUGUGAUUUUCCCUUUUUUAGCAUGAGUUAUCAAUGUGUCAAAAUCAUAAUGUGAGUUAUCGGUGUGUCACAAUAUUAUUUUUGUUUUGUGAUUUUGCCUUUCCUAGUAUGAAGGGUUAUAAAAUAAUUAAAAUUUGGUAAAAAAAAUAUAAGUAUGAAUCUUAUGAUUUGUAAAUUUUUUGUAACCUCCUUACUAAAGCUGUUAAAGGGGUAUAUUAAUGCAUUGGUUAUACUUAAGAGACAUUUAAUAAUUAUUUUAAUAAUUAUUUUAAUUUUACGAAGUCUAAUCAUUUUAGAACUCUAUAAAUGUUAAAAGUUAUUUAUUUGAUGCAAGAAGAAUUUAAGCUUUAUAUAUCAAAAAGCGAUAAAAUCAUAUUCUAUUUAUACAUGCAACAGUUGUAAAAUAUGAAUAAAAUUGAAAAGUUUGUUUAUAAUAUAAUUAUCCUUCUUUCCCUAUUUCUUGUUUCAACAAGCUCUCAAGGUAAAUAAUUUUAUCUCCUUUGCAAAUUUCCUUCCAUUCUUCCUACACAAUAUUUUAUCUCAUUUUAAUAAUAUUAAUUUUUGUUUCUCUUUUUAGAUAUUCGAUGUGUCUUACCAAAACGAAAAAAUAUUCAUUGUCUUCGUAAAGGUGAUUGUCCAUACAAUUUUUGCCCAUAUCCUACAAACACAAAGUGUAUUAAUGGUUUUUGUCAUUGUAGUAAUUAAUUAAUUAAAUAUAAAGCUCUAUAGGUACCUAUGAGUUGUAAUGUAGUUAUUGUGGUAACUAAUAAUUUAAUUUUCUUUUAACUUUUAAAAUUUCAUGAACCUUUUUUGUACUAUAAUAUGAUGCAACAGAAAUGAAAUAACGCAUCAAAGAAUAUUAUUUAUACUCUCGUGUCCAUUUGUCCCUUUUUUUAAUGAAAGAUAGUUGUUGACUAGCAACUGCACUAGUUUAUCGUUCAAGUAGUAAUAAAGAUCGAACCUCGAGGAUUGUGUUAACUAAUACAAUGGCAAAUCGAAUCAUUCUUAGUUAUAAAUACAAAGAUUGGGGGUGUUGCAUAUCACAAUCUUUCAACCACAAAUCAAUUAAAAGCAAAUGAACGUUUUGUUCAAAUUUGAGAAAGUUGCAUUGGAUUUCCUUUGGAUUCUUCAAUUACACGGAAUUGUAACUUUUGUACGUAAAUGAAUCAUUGAAAUCCAAUGUGCACCUUAANNNNNNNNNNNNNNNNNNNNNNNNNNNNNNNNNNNNNNNNNNNNNNNNAAUCCCAACCAUUAAUUUUGAUCAUGUGGCUGUUAUUUAAUGCUCUCAUCUCUCAUAAUAACACUUCCUCUCACUUGAUAUAUAUUGCCAUUAAAAAAAAAGUAAAAAAGGAAAUGAAUUUUCUUUUGAAAAUUUAGGCAUAAUGGUUAUCUUGUAGUUAAAUAUAAUUUUCCCCUUCAAAUUCAAUUAAUUAAUAAUCAAAUCUAAAAUCAAUGGACAUUUGAUGAUGUGCGAGGAGAGUGUCUCUGUUGAAGAUUUUGAAGGAUGAAUGCUAUUGUAGAAAAAUUCAGAUCUUGAUAAUUUAAGUCUAUAAAUCUUAAAAUUUAAAAUGAUUGCUGAUUUUGUUUUUCUUUCACCAUAGUGAAGAAGAAGAAGGAGAAAAAAUAAUUGAGUGUGAUUUUUCAAAAACUAAACAAUGAGAGUUGAUAUAGUGUUGAGGGUCCAUGAUAAGAUCUUGUGAGAUAAUUUGACCUAAAAAUUAAAAUAUGUGGUACACAAUACAAGACAUGAGAAUGUCUUUUAUGUUAGAAUAAGCAUUUUAAUAUAAGUGGGAGAAUAGGAAAGAAAAUGUGAUAUUUUUUAAUUGAUAUUAAAGGAGAAUCCAAUACUAGUAAUACACAUAAUAUUCUUUAAUACUUUAUUUCAUUUCAGUAGCAUCAUAUUAUUUUAUUAUAGUACAUAAUAAUAAGGUCCGUGAAAUUUGAAAGCUAAAAGAAAAUUAAAUUAAUGGGUGUCACAUAACAACUCAGAAUCUAUAUGGUGCUUAAUAAUUAAUAACGACAAACACACUUAUUUUUAAGACACCUCGGUUUAGAAGGAUAUGGGCAUCGUAGCUCGAUACAAUCUUUAGCAUAAACACAUUCAUGUCCCACUAUAAUGUAAAAAAGUGAGAAAAUAAAAUUUUAUUAAAAUGGAAUAAAAUAGUGUGUACGACGGAAAUAAGGAAAUUUGUAAGGGAGAUAAAAAUGCUUACAUUUAAUACUUGUUGCAACAAGAAAUAGGGAAAGAAGAAUAAUAAUCAUAACACAAAUAAACUCGAUAAUUUUAAACAUAUUUUCCAACCUUUGCAUGUAUCAAAUAGAAUAUGAUUUUAUCACUUUAUAAUUUAUGGAAUUUAUGUUCUCCUUACAUUAAUU